rnacentral:lncRNA from 1 species
CUCAUAAAAUAGCUUAGAAGAAACAUUAUGGCUGCACGCUGUUUAAUCAUUCUGCUGCAUAAUUACUGCUGUUGUUGUCUUUCAGUUUACACAGUUUCUUUAUUAGCAGUUCUUACUGCCAGAAGGUUUAAACAUCUAAUAAUCUGUCAAAGUGGUAACUUGAAGACCUUUCCAGUGAUAUCUGAAGCACCUGGCCAGGACGUGGAAGUGCAAGUCAGAGAGACCAGAAAUGCUACGAUUUGCACGUACUAGUCUCCCUUGAAGCUGAAAACAAAAAUGCAGAGUAGAAGUAGGUUUGUGGUUUCGACAUACAUAAAAAGGAAUGAAAUCCUUCUGGGGAAUGAAGGUAGCAAUAAUUUAUGACUGAAAAGAAGGGUCAAGAAUUCCAUGUGGAAAAUAAGAGGGGAACAAAACUAAACAAAGGUGCAGCCCUGGACAUUAGGGGAACACCUUCAGCCAUGCCCCGGUUUCUCCAGAAGGUGGACAAGGAGUCGAUCACAGGCGCUCCUCAGACCUUUGCCUCCCUGGACUGCAUCGUGGUCUCUGCUGGAAGCAUCAGGAAGAAGCCUACUGCCUCGGUAUCGAUUAAUUGCCAAAAUAUACCUGAAAAGAGAAUUGAAGGGAAAGUAGACUCCUGAGGCUUCAUCGGGUACAGUGUUUUAAGCCUUAGUGUGGGACUUAAAGGGAAAUUUGAAACUGCUGAAGAAUGGUGAGUCUUUGAACUUCCUCUGACCUCCUCCAGUUGAUUCACUUUUGAAGAAGGUAAUUUCAAGAGUGACAGUGGAUUUCUGAUGAUCCGUAGCUCAUCUACAAAAAGUGCUCAUCUGAGUUGACUGAGAGGGAAGGGAAUAGGUUGUCCUAUGUUUUCAAAAAAAAAAAAAAAAAAAAGAAUCAGUUUGGGAUCAUUUUUAGCCAGUUCCUAGCCAUGUAAGUGUGACAAUAACUGUGUUUCAUUAAAAAAUUUUCCAUUGUUGUCCUGUAUUGUCCACAUUUUUGUGGUGAACCUGAAGUUGACAGUAUUUGAUUCAUCAUAAUUACUGGAAAUGCUUCAUCCGUUCAGAAACCUUCACGGUACCCUCAGGGACUGCUAAGCUUGUAAUAUAAGCUGUUCUUCUCUUUUAUCUCUGAUUUUUCUCUCACAUUAUUUCCUCUUUUCUUUGCUCUAGAUAUCUAGUUUUUGUCGCUAUCGUGUUGAUUUUUUCUCUUGAAAAGGUAGCAGCAAAGCAACAGUGUUUCAAAUCUUUUGUCUGAAUUGCUAGGGUGCAAUUCUUGCAUAGAACUAAACAGUUUUGUGAUAAAAUUAUGUUACAGGUUUGUCACUGAACAAGCUUAAUCAAUCGAUAGUUCCUAUUUGAUUGAGUAAAUAAAUGAUGUUGUGGUAUGUGACA